GCAAAAAUCCACCUCUCAGUGAACCAUCCUACCCUCAUACGACAAACUGAUGUUGGAAAUCUUCUUCACAAUUAGGUUGCCACUUAGCCAACACAAAUACCAAGAAUCAUCCUAAUCUUGGUGAACAGCAAUUCAGUCACACUUGACCCUGACUGAUGAUCAUAAAGCUGAGGUCCCGUUCAUAUCGCAGACUUGGAGAUAUCUUUUACUACUGCCGAUUUGCUUCGAAUCACGGACUGCUUGCUUGGCAUCACGUAAGCCAGCCCCAAACAUCCUGUGGGAUUUCAACCAUCAAAAUUGGAAAGCUCAAAUGCCACCAUCUCCAAAACAUUUUCUCUGGUGCUACAAGUGGAAAUUGUUCCUUCCUCCAAAUACAACCUGGAUCCCUGCACAC
rnacentral:lncRNA from 1 species